rnacentral:rRNA from 1 species
AUUGAACGCUGGCGGCAUGCUUUACACAUGCAAGUCGAACGGCAGCGCGGGCUUCGGCCUGGCGGCGAGUGGCGAACGGGUGAGUAAUGCAUCGGAACGUGCCCAGUAGUGGGGGAUAGCCCGGCGAAAGCCGGAUUAAUACCGCAUACGACCUGAGGGUGAAAGCGGGGGACCGAAAGGCCUCGCGCUAUUGGAGCGGCCGAUGUCGGAUUAGCUAGUUGGUGGGGUAAAGGCUUACCAAGGCGACGAUCCGUAGCUGGUCUGAGAGGACGACCAGCCAAACUGGGACUGGGACAAGGCCCAGACUCCUACGGGAGGGAGCAGUGGGGAAUUUUGGACAAUGGGGGCAACCCUGAACCAGGCAUGCCGCGUGCGGGAAGAAGGCCUUCGGGUUGGAAAACGCUUUUGUUCGGGAAGAAAUCCUCUGGGCUAAUACCCCGGGGGGAUGACGGUACCGGAAGAAUAAGCACCGGCUAACUACGUG